rnacentral:rRNA from 1 species
AACGAACGCUGGCGGCAGGCCUAACACAUGCAAGUCGAGCGAGGACUUCGGUCCUAGCGGCGGAUGGGGGAGUAGCGCGUGGGAAGGUUCCCUUUGCUUCGGAAUAGCCCUGGGACACUGGGAGUAAUACCGGAUGAGCCCUGUUGGGGAAAGAUUUAUCGGCCCAGGAUCGGCCCGCGUUGGAUUAGGUAUUUGGGGUGGUAAUGGCCUACCAAGCCGACGAUCCAUAGCUGGUUUGAGAGGAUGCUCAGCCACACUGGGACUAAGAAACGGCCCAGACUCUUACGGGAGGCAGCAGAGGGGAAUCUUGGAAAAUCGGGGAAACCAUGAACUAGCCAUGCUGGGUGAGCGAUGAAGGCCGGAGGGUAGUAAAGCUCUUUCAGCUGGGAAGAUAAUGACGGUACCAGCAGAAGAAGCCCCGGCUAACUCCGUG